rnacentral:rRNA from 1 species
GCAUAUCAAUAAGCGGAGGAAAAGAAACUAACAAGGAUUCCCCUAGUAAGGGCGACUGAAGCGGGAUCAGCCCAGAUUGUAAACUGACCUUAAUCAAGGUUGGGUUGUAGUCUAAAGAGGCGACGCCAGGCAAGGUCCGGGGAGAAGUCCCUUGGAACAGGGCAUCGGAGAGGUGACAAUCCCGUCUGUGCCUCGGACCGCGCGUACGGUGCGUCUUCGACGAGUCGGUUUGCUUGGGAUUGCAGACCAAACGGGUGGUAAAUUCCAUCUAAGGCUAAAUACGGGUGGGAGACCGAUAGCGAACAAGUACCGUGAGGGAAAGAUGCAAAGAACUUUGAAAAGAGAGUUAAAAAGGGCCUGAAACUGGUAAGAGGGAACCGAACGGCAGAAGUGGUGAUGGGCGCGUAUUUUCCGCCGGGUUCUUGGCCGGCGUACUUGUGCGCGUCCGUAGGUCAGCGUGGGUUGGGGCGUGGGAGUCGUUCAUGGGAAGGUCUUCGGGCCAAUCUCGUGUUCAGGCCGCGCCUGAGACCUUCGGUGACGAAAUUCUUCCGUUCACCCCGUCUUGAAACACGGACC